UACGUAGGGGGCAAGCGUUGUCCGGAAUCAUUGGGCGUAAAGCGCGUGUAGGCGGCUCAGUAAGUCCGCUCUGAAAGCCCGGGGCUCAACCCCGGGAGGCGGGUGGAUACUGCUGAGCUCGAGUCCGGAAGAGGAGUGUGGAAUUCCUGGUGUAGCGGUGAAAUGCGCAGAUAUCAGGAAGAACACCCGUGGCUAAGGCGGUUCUCUAGUACGGUACUGACGCUGAGACGCGAAAGCGUGGGGAGCGAACAGG
rnacentral:rRNA from 1 species